GAAGGGGAGGGAGAGUUGUUCAGCGGAGGAGUCAUCUACAGAGAGAGAGAAAGAAGAGGGGGAAGAGCUGGCCUGCAAAGAAAAGGAGGGAGAGAGGAAUACAAACUGCAACGAAGAGAAGGAGAACACCAAGCUCUGAUGGUCCGCAACCGCACCAUGCCCCUGAUUUACAGAGUGGGAGACCCCCAUAGUGUGCACUAACUCCCUUCAUCCCAUAGCACAUACUGUAGUGGAAAAGGAGAGGCUGGUAUGGACUGCAGACUAUGCCACUGGAUGGACUCCCUUUAGUCCUCUGCAUCUGGAAGGUCCUACACUCUGGCUGCGUCCCAAAUUGCACACUAUGCCCUAUAUAGUUUAGUAAGUUUGACCAGGUUCAAUAGUCCUCUGGUCUAAAGUAGUGCACUAUAUAGGGAGUAGGGUUUCAUUUGGGACAUAGCUAUGCACAUGUUUGGAGUUUGGGAAUCCCUGGUCUAGAUAAAUCAAUUAAUGUCAGAUUUUUGUUUUCACUUCAUCUCUGUUUUGAUAUUUUGUUACAAUUAGGCUGGAGAAAUGUUAGCUAAGUUGAAGUGAGUGCUAAUGAUCAUCUUUAGUCUUAGUUUCCUCACAUAUUAACUGAUAAGAACAUUUUGACAGCAUUUUAUACAAGUGAAUUUUGCUCUUCAGCCUGUCCUACUCUGAUAAUCAAUCAUGUCCUACUCCUGACCAAAAGCCUGUGACUUGUCUGAUAAUCAAUCAAUGUGAUUUUGUUUCACUGAAUGUCUGUCUGUAUAUUUGGUUAAUUGAUCUCUGGCUGGACAAGUGGAAGUGGUAGAUAAUUGAUUAGUUUGCUCAUCUAUCACCGAUCAGAUUUUUUUUUGCAUGCAAUAAUGUAGCCCAAAUCAAGUGUAUUAUUUAUCUAUUGACUCACGUACUGUAGUAGCCUUAUAUAGAGCCUAGGCUUAUUUCCUAUUGUCCCAAUCCAACUGAAACUCAAUAUCCUGACUCCUGUCUUGCAUGAACAUUCCUAACUUGGCCCAGCGUUGUUCGGGGUAGGCUGUCAUUGUAAAUAAGAUUUUGUUCUUAACUGACUUGCCUAGUUCAAUAAAGGUUACAUUUUAACAUUU